rnacentral:lncRNA from 1 species
UGCCCAACAACCAAUAGGUGACAUCUGGGAAGACUGUGACCCCAUAGUGCUCAGCCUAUGAGGAACUGGGGGAGGGACCUGCACACUAAGGGAUAAAGUGCUUGUUAAAACCAUGCUGGAGGCUGGUGCAGUGGCUCACGCCUGUAAUCCCAGCACUUUAGGAGGCCGACGUGAGGCAGGCGGAUCACUUGGGGUCAGGAGUUUGACACCAGCCUGGCCAACCUGGUAAAACCCCAUCUCUAUUGAAAACACGAAAAUUAGCCAGGCGUGGUGGUGAGUGCCUGUGAUCCCAGCUACUCAGGAGGCUGAGGCAGGAGGAUCACUUGGACUCGGGAGGCAGAGUUACAGUGAGCCGAGAUCCUGCCACCGCACUCCAGCCUGGGCGACAGAGAAAGACCCCAUCUCAAAACAACAGCAACAACAACAAAACCGGGCUGGGCGUGCCUUCCCAUCGGACACCCGACCUCGCAAGACUGUCAUUAAAAGUCUCACUCUCGCUGUUCUCUGGGUUGUGAGUCCAUUCUCUGGGUGUGGACAGGCAUUCAGCUCAGUCUACGGCCCGCAGACAGAUUUCCUAGAAAUAACUGCUCCUACUUCUCAACUCUUAACAAAAAGGUCUCUGAAAAGGAAUUUGGAGGAAACAGACUAUUCCAGUGAAUAGUGUACAAGCCUGGGAGAUGCGGACUUUGGUGUAAAAUGAAGGUGUGUUCAAAGAGCAAAGAAGGAGUUCGGGUUUUAGAGCAAAAAGCUCCUGCCCUGGGGUCCCCAUUAGGUCCAUGUAGGCAAAUGAAGGAUUGAAACGUGCUUAGUUCUGAUUGGUUGGUACAGCUGGGCCCUGAUGGGUUGGUUUCCAAGCCGCGAACCGGAAGUCUUUGUUAGCUGUUUCUUUCAAACAGUGGUGGGGGGCGUGAGGGGCGUGCGGGGCGUCG